rnacentral:rRNA from 1 species
UGGGGAAUCUUCCGCAAUGGACGAAAGUCUGACGGAGCAACGCCGCGUGAGUGAAGAAGGUUUUCGGAUCGUAAAACUCUGUCUUUUGGGGCGAACGUGAGUAUGGUGAACAAUCAUAGUCAGUGACGGUACCAAAGGAGGAAGCCACGGCUAACUACGUGCCAGCAGCCGCGGUAAUACGUAGGUGGCAAGCGUUGUCCGGAAUUAUUGGGCGUAAAGAGCGCGUAGGCGGGAUAGUCAGUCUGUUGUAAAAGUGCGGGGCUCAACCCCGUGAUGGCAAUGGAAACAGCUAUUCUUGAGUGACGAGGAGGAAGAAGUGGAAUUCCCAGUGUAGCGGUGAAAUGCGUAGAUAUUGGGAGGAACACCAGUGGCGAAGGCGACUUUCUGGACUGUGUCUGACGCUGAGGCGCGAAAGCCAGGGGGAGCGAACGGGAUUAGAUACCCCGGUAGUCCUGGCCGUAAAACGAUGGGUACUAGGUGUGGGAGGUAUCGACCCCUUCCGUGCCGGAGUUAACGCAAUAAGUACCCCGCCUGGGGAGUACGGUCGCAAGACUGAAACUCAAAUGAAUUGACGGGGUCAUAGCUGUUUCCUG